UACGUAGGCAGCGAGCGUUGUUCGGAGUUACUGGGCGUAAAGAGCGUGUAGGCGGCCAUACAGGUCCGUUGUGAAAACUGGAGGCUCAACUUCCAGACGUCGACGGAAACCGUGUGGCUAGAGUCCGGAAGAGGAGAGUGGAAUUCCUGGUGUAGCGGUGAAAUGCGCAGAUAUCAGGAAGAACACCAAUGGCGAAGGCAGCUCUCUGGGACGGUACUGACGCUGAGACGCGAAAGCGUGGGGAGCGAACAGG
rnacentral:rRNA from 1 species